rnacentral:lncRNA from 1 species
UAGAAGAAAAAACUUUUUUCAAUUACUUCCUAAAAACUCGCACGAGGCUUCCGUCCCAAAGGUUCCGUCCCAAAGGUGUUGAUAGUCAGAAAAACAUGCCGCUGCCGACUACAUGUUUCAAACCCAAGCCCUAAAACUUAUAUCCCCAAUUUCUAUCUCUAAUCCAAGCCCUAAACUCAAAUCCUCAAAUAUUUUAUCCCCAAUUUUAGUGACAGAUACAGAGAGAUAGAGAGCAAUUUAGAGCAAUAGCAAUUCAAAAAUUGUCUAGGAUUGCCAAUCGAUCUACUAGAGCAAGAUAAAAGAAGCAAGGAAGGGGCUUUUGAUUGUUGGGACGUUACAGAUACACAGAGAGAGAGAGAGAGAGAGCAAUUCGGAGCAAUCACAAUUCGAAAAUUGUCUAGUAUUUCCAAUCGAGCUACCGACGCAAUUGCAAUUCAACAACCACUUAGGUAGGUAAUAAGAAUAAAUUUCAACAGAUUUUUGGUUUAUAUUUGGUGACUUUGGUAGAUGCAAAUCAUAUAAGGGAUGCAAAUUAUAUGAGGUUGCUCUUCAUUAUCCGUUUAGAUUUGUUCUACUUUUUUUUCUUGGAGGAUUCAUUGUCCUCUUUGUAAUAAAUUUUGAUUUAUUGAUGUGAAAAUGUUAUCCAUUUUUGUUUGGGAUCAGUUCUCAUUCCAAGUUAUUAAAAUGGGGUCAUGUUAUUCCUGAACCCAUCUUUUCCUCGUCUAUUCUCUGUAUACUUGCUUCACAUUUGUUGUAGAUUGUCUUACUAAUUGGAUACAACUCAUUUAGGUAAAAUAGUCAUUUCCUGUAAACUUGAUGAAUAACCUUAGUACCCAUGGAAGUACAUUGCAUAUACUAAAACAAGGAUACCCAAGAAUGAAUAGAAUGCUUUGCACAAGAGCUUUCUGUAAUGCUCUGUAUUACAUUUUUUUUAUAUACUAAUUAUUAGGUGUUGUAUUUACAAACUUGAACUUGGGAGAGGGAAAAGAUAGGCUAAGUUGGCAGCUUGAACUAUAGUACAUGCUUAAUUUCUCAAUGAAAUAUAUUUUUGUUGUUAUAUAACUGUAGCAUGAGGUUAUUUAAUCUACACUAGUUUGAAAUAUCAAAAAUCUUACAUCUUUGUUAGAAAAUUCUACUGCAACACUCUUUUACCAAUGGCAGUCUUUGCAGUUGAGCAACUUCAAGUAAUGGCUUUGAAACGUCAAUAUAAAGAGGCAACUUCAAGUAAUGGCUUUGAAACGUCAAAGCUAAAGUUAAUCCUAAUAUUACUAUUUUUCAUUUCUUAUUGAUCGCAGUCUUAUUUAUUUGUUAGCAUUCUAAUUUGCAGUCUUCACCCUAGCCUAGUACCAAUUUUCCUAUUUUUGUCAAUUAUUUUCUGCAAUUCAAGCUUUCAAAAUCAUGUCCUGCAUCAAAAUGUUUUUCAUGGAUGCUAGAUUCUUCCGUUGCUCUUUCUUAUAAUUUGUUAUGUUAGUUGAAUUGCUGUGAUUUUAAGUCAUCUUAAAUUUAUGUCAUUUUUUAAUUGUGUGAUGGUAUUUAAGAUUGUGUGAUGCUUGUGGUUGUUGAAUGUGACUGAAUUCUGAUAUGAGGUCAACAUAUAAUUAUAAUUUACAAGUCUUGUAACAGAAAAUAUGUUUACCACUAUGCUUACUGAAAUUAAUUCAUGAAAUGGCCGAUUAAGAUUCCAAUUUUUUCUUGUAACAACGCAAUCAUAUAUUCGCACUGAAGGUUCUUUUUCUAUUUGGAUUUGUAGCAAAUGAUAUUGUGAUUGCCUAUUUGUCUUUUUCUGCUUACGAGCAAUACGGUGUACAUUAGGACCACGUAGCAACUCUAUUGUCUUUGUGUAUUGAUUUUGGCACUAAGUGCCUUUGGUGACCUAUUUGCUUCAUUUUCUUGACUUGCUAUUAUUUUUAAAUAUGUGCAGGAAGACUGCUUCUACGACAUGUCUUACAAUACUGCGUAUUAAAUUUUUGUGCUACGUUUACGAAAGACAAGGGACGAAAUUAUGAAGUGUACUCUCUCUAUAUAUGUAGAUAUAUACUUUGAUUGAAGAACUGUGGUAGCUUUAGAUGGUUAAUUGUAAAGAUAAUAAAUGAUUAUGUAGUGGAUGAUUUUAUUAAGUUAAUAAUAUUUGAUUUUUUUGUAUUUUUGCCAUUAUUUGCUAUGGGGACAUUGAGCC